rnacentral:lncRNA from 1 species
ACUACGCAAAAAGCGACAAUCAAGUAGUGCAGACGGUUGAGAUUUGAGAAAUAGAAAUUACCAGUCGAUUAAGCCAAAUACGCCUUGUCAAAACAAAUAAAAUCACAGCUGCUUGUGGGUCCAGAUAAAUAUUUGUACUACCAUCGGCGUGCUCAGUUCACAGAGACUUGUCAGGUAGUGUUUUAAUAUUCAAUUUUUAGUAUAAUUUUUUCCUAAUGUUUCCAAGUAAAGAUUCUCAUGUGCAUGACUAGUGAUACUUAAAAACACUAGGAGAAUUCCAACAUUUUGGUACUGAUUAACCCAUAAAGAUUUGUAAGUGUCACAACAGACUAAUUAGGUUUAAUAAAUUUGUCUCACAAAUUAGUCUCCAACUGUAUGAUUAUUUUUUUAUAAUAGUCUAUGUUUAAUAUUCCAAAUUAUUGUCUAAACAUCUAAUGUGACAAGGAUUAAAAAUUAGUUCCUGACCACUCGCCUGGAUGCAUUUCGACUGUCCUCGAUGAGAGGAAUCCGAUGGGUAGUUGUGGACCGAGAAAUUGUUCAGGACUAGAACCUCUACGUAAGAACAAAAUCAAAUCCUUGACAUCAUACAGAGAAAUAAGUAAAAUAAAAGAAAAAAA